rnacentral:rRNA from 1 species
UAGGGAAUCUUCGGCAAUGGACGAAAGUCUGACCGAGCAACGCCGCGUGAGUGAAGAAGGUUUUCGGAUCGUAAAACUCUGUUGUUAGAGAAGAACAAGGACGUUAGUAACUGAACGUCCCCUGACGGUAUCUAACCAGAAAGCCACGGCUAACUACGUGCCAGCAGCCGCGGUAAUACGUAGGUGGCAAGCGUUGUCCGGAUUUAUUGGGCGUAAAGCGAGCGCAGGCGGUUUCUUAAGUCUGAUGUGAAAGCCCCCGGCUCAACCGGGGAGGGUCAUUGGAAACUGGGAGACUUGAGUGCAGAAGAGGAGAGUGGAAUUCCAUGUGUAGCGGUGAAAUGCGUAGAUAUAUGGAGGAACACCAGUGGCGAGGGCGGCUCUCUGGUCUGUAACUGACGCUGAGGCGCGAAAGCGUGGGGAGCAAACAGG